rnacentral:sRNA from 1 species
GGGAUUGCUCAUUUGCAUAGGGGAUAAUGAUGACUUCAAACCGUUAAGCAUGUUUUGAUUCAAUGAAGUAAGUUCAAUGCCCAGGUUGUUAGUUCUCUGUUGCAUAACCGAUUGUUUCUCUGAAGUAAGACCGCACCCUGCUUUGAAUUUACAACUUGACUAUACUGCUUUGAUUCGAAACUCGCUUAUCUUAUGCCAUUCCCUAUCUAUUAGAAGCUGAACUGAAUUUGCAAUUAUCAUGUCUAUGCAUUGUUUGUGAACUCAUGGCUAACAUAUACAUAUUUGGAUUAUCUUAUUUACUUCACCACCCCCUGUUAAUCCAAGUAGCUGACUCUCAUUUUUAGAGCAGUUUCCCAUACCCUGAGCCUAGCCUUAUUUCAAGCCAAAGAUAAUUUGUGUGUGAUUGUGAGGUCUUUUUCGAUUGAGCUUGGUAUAACGUGUUAGGUAUGAGCCGACAAGAGCAGUCAUUCAUGUAGACCUAGCCCACGCUUUUUGGGUUAGCUAGGACUAGGUGGAGACUUGUAUUUGGGAUUAGGAUUGUGUAUGGAUUGAAUGGGAAAGGGAAUAGGAAUGAAAAGAAAAGAAAAAA